rnacentral:rRNA from 1 species
UACGUAGGCAGCGAGCGUUGUUCGGAGUUACUGGGCGUAAAGGGUGUGUAGGCGGUUGUUUAAGUUUGGUGUGAAAUCUCCCGGCUCAACUGGGAGGGUGCGCCGAAUACUGAAUGACUUCGAGUGCGGGAGAGGAGAGUGGAAUUCCUGGUGUAGCGGUGAAAUGCGUAGAUAUCAGGAGGAACACCGGUGGUGUAGACGGCUCUCUGGACCGUAACUGGCGCUGAGACACGAAAGCGUGGGUAGCAAACAGG